rnacentral:rRNA from 1 species
AACGAACGCUGGCGGCAGGCUUAACACAUGCAAGUCGAACGCCCCGCAAGGGGAGUGGCAGACGGGUGAGUAACACGUGGGGAUCUGCCCAAUGGUACGGAAUAAUUCCGGGAAACUGGGACUAAUACCGUAUGUGCCCGCAAGGGGAAAGAUUUAUCGCCAUUGGAUGAACCCGCGUCGGAUUAGCUAGUUGGUGUGGUAAAGGCGCACCAAGGCGACGAUCCGUAGCUGGUCUGAGAGGAUGAUCAGCCACACUGGGACUGAGACACGGCCCAGACUCCUACGGGAGGCAGCAGUGGGGAAUAUUGGACAAUGGGCGCAAGCUUGAUCCAGCCAUGCCGCGUGAGUGAUGAAGGCCUUAGGGUUGUAAAGCUCUUUCGCCGACGAAGAUAAUGACGGUAGUCGGAGAAGAAGCCCCGGCUAACUUCGUGCCAGCCGCCGCCGUAACAC